rnacentral:lncRNA from 15 species
AUGAAGCUGGAGGAUGAAGAGGCUGAGGGAAGGGAGGGGCUGCCUUCACAAACUCCGACACAGAUUUUCAAGGAUGAAGAGCAAGAGAAGAGAGCCGAGAUGAAGGAGUUGUCAACGACACAGUCUCUACCUUUUGUCAAGAGGGAGAGAGAUGAAGGUGUACUCACUCACACACUAAUAGAGCCUAAAGCUGAAGAAAAUGAGAAAGAGGAGGGUAAAGCAGGAGGGGGGGAGGAAGAUGCAGGCGCAUGCCGGACACUGCAGAAGGGCCAUGAGGAGGGUGGAGUGGACAGUGCAUCCUUAAAGUCACUACAGCAGAUUAGGAAGGAGAAUGAUGUGGAGGAAGAGAGGCAGCAAAAGACAACGGUACCAGGUCAAGGUCUAAAAGAGAAAACUAAAGAUAGUAUAACGAGCACUUACAACACACCGCAAAUCAAAAAGGAGAAAGAUAAAGGAAAAAGAGAGAGAGAUGAAAAGGAGAGGGUUAAAGAUAAGGAGAAAAAGGACAAGGAUAGGAGUAAAGAGAAGGAAAAGGAUAAAAAAGAGAAGGGGAAAGACAGAGAUAGAGAGAAGGACAGGGUGCGAGAGCAGGAGAAAGUUAAGGCCGAGGGAGGACGAGAGGGUAGUACAUCGACGCAGCCGCUGCCACAGAUGAGGAAAAAGGAGGACGAGGAGCGGACAAGAGAGGGCAGUAAAGCCUCUCAAACAUCCCUUCCUGCACAGAGAGACGAGAAGUGGGCCAAGGAGUGGGACUCAAAGACACAUCCCCACCUCAAGAGGGAGAAGGAGCACGAUAAAGACAGGGGAGGCACACAAGGAGCGUCUCACUUAAGGCCAGACAGAGAGGAGGCUCGAGACGCCAGUUCUCAUAAACACAAGUCUUCACACGGGAAGAAGGAGAAGAGCGGGCAUAAGGAGGGCAACGUGGGGAGCACGCAGCAGGGGGUGCAGGCAAAGUCUGGGAGAGAGGACGGGAAGACGGGAAUUCCCAAACCUGUGAACAUUCAGGUAAAGAAAGAAGGAAAGAAAGAUAAAGACAUCAGCAGUAAGGAGGAGAGGAAGAAGUCUGCCUCUGCUCCUGCGCCACCAGAACACAAACAACCACGGACGCUCAUCACCUUUGACCUCUUUAAGCCGAUGGAGGCUCACCAAACUCUGGCCCUUUCCUUCACGGAGAGCAGGCCUAAGACCCACCAUCACAGUGACUCUCGAGGCUCUUCCUCUAAGCCUGGAUCUGACAGUCGGACAGUUGUGCCCUCUAAAGGACCAAAAGUAAAGGACACGGUGCAGGGAAAACCUGCCACGCCCCUACAGGACACUCGGCCACAGCAGCACUCAUUAAAACAGCCCCUAAAAACACACACACCCCAAACACAGAAAGACUUCUUAAUAUGA